ACUUUACUUUGAGGGUGACAAAGCACUGGAGCAGACUACCCAGAGAGGUUGUGGUGUCUCAUUCUCUGGAGAUAUUCAAAACCCGCGUGGAAACGAUGCUCUGCAACUUGCUUUAUGUAAACCUGCUUUUGCAGCGGGAUUGGACUAGAUGAUCUCCAGCAGUCCCUUCUCACCUUGACUAUUCUGUGAUUCUGUGCAUGGUCACCCAGUUGAUCCUGAGUCUGACCCACAGAUUUGAAUUUCCAGCUUGACCUUGGACCUACCUUGUCACCAUGGACAUGUCUAGUGAUCUGGACUCCUGACUGCCUCUGGUUACCAUCCCCAAUCCCACUUUUCUCUUCUUGUUCAGGUACUGUGGGACUGCUUUUUUUUUGGUAAGGGCAUGGCCCUUUCAGCCUUCUUGUCUCAGCUCCCAGUUCCCCUUCCUUUAUGCAGCAGUACCAUUCUUGCUUCACCCUAACACUCUCAGAGAGCCUUAUCAAAUUAUUUGCCUUUCCUAUAUUCCCUUUUUUUUCCCUCCUAUUUCUCUACAAGCAAUCCGCCCUGUUUACUCUUUCUUUGCUUAACUGGUUGUGCAGGCUUUCCACUCUUACAAUGUAAUUUUGGUCUUAGAUGUUGACUCCAGUAGACUUCUGCUUCCCUGUCUUUUGGCGUCUUUCACCCAGAAGCAGUCCUGGUAUUCCUAUUUCACCAUUUGUAAUGUGUUGCAGUUUCUUACAUUCAUUCUUGUUCAGCAUCAUGUUGGGGUACUCCAAUCUCUUUCCCAUUUUGGGGUUUUGCAGCGCCCAGCAGUUUCUCACAUAGCUAUUACACUCUUUUGAUUUGGGACUGAAGUGGCCUUCUGCCAACAGCUUGCUUAAGAAAGGGUUUCAACAUAGCCUCCCACAGUGUUCUUAGAGUCAAAUUUGUGAGGUAUAAGGUGGGUUGAAAAUUGGCUAUAUCUCUGGGCUCAAAAUGUGAUGAUCAGCAGUAGGAAAUUCAACUGGCAGUUGGUUACUUAGUUAAGCUCUCUCCAGCACAUACUGAGGCCACUUUUGUUUAAUGUUUUUUUACUUAAUGACCAGAUGACUCCACAUGUUUCCAGACUAUAUCAAAUUGGCUAAUCACUGGAGGGCAGGGCUGACAGGAGGGAUAUAAAUAAGCUGGGAAAAUGGGCCGACAGGAAUCUCAUGAAUUUCAAAGGGAAAUACCAAGAUCUCCACUUGAAGAGGAAAAACCUCAUGCACAAGCAGAGACUAGGGGGGUCAAGUAGCUGGAAAGCAGCUUUGUAGAAAAGGGCCUGGGUGUCCAUAUACCUAAGUUGUUUGCGAGCCAGUACUACACUGUUGCAGCAAAGCAGGCCAACAGCAUCCUGGUCUGCAUUAGGAAGAGCGUUUCCAACAGGUCAAGAGAGGUGAUCCUUCUCCUCUGCUCAGCCCUGAGGAGACACAUCUGGAGUGCUGUGUCCAUUUCUGUGCUCCCCAGUAUGAGAGAGACAUGGACAUACUAGAGGAUGACGACAAAGGUGGUCAAGGGAGAAGCUGAAGCACACAGCUUACAAGGAGAUGCUGAGAGAUCCAGCUUGAGAUAGAGAAAACCGAGGAGGAUGAUCUUAUUGCUGUCUACUACUACAUAAUAGGAGGGUGCAGAGGAAACCAAACCAGAGUCUUCACAGACAUGCACAACAGAAGGAUGAGAGGCAUGAUGUACAGACCAGAUAAUAGCCGAUAUUCUGAAAUGCUUCAGGAAAACAAGAACAGAACAAUGUGUUUCCAUAAGCAUCAAAUGUAAUAUUGAGAGAACUAAGAGAGAUAUCGCUAGCAGAGGAAAAGAAACUACUCAUUAUCCAGGAAAGAUACUGCAAAAUGGUGGAGGCUGAGAGGGAAAGAAACAAAUCCUUUAAAGUCCAUUUUUUCCACUUCUCCUGGAUAAGCAGAUUGACAUUCUGAGCGAAGGUGCAGCUCCAACUGAUUUCAGCUAGAGUGAAUGGAAGCUACAUGUAUCUGAAAAUCCAAAUGAUACAAAAGCAUGCAAUUGAAAAUAAAAGGACAGAGUCAAGUAAAGAUGCGUCAUGUCUGCCAUAAUUUCUCCAUGCGAGUCAGGCAAUAUAAAAAGACAGAAGCUUAUGCACUCUACUGCAAGAGAGGAAACUGAGAGCAUUUAGGGAGUGAUCUGCUGUGUUUCAUCCACAGUGAAAGUCCUUAUUUUCCUGCGAGGUAUCUGUAACAACAUCACCAGUCUUGGAAUACCAGACUAUUCCCAGAAGCCUAUUUCAGAAUUACAAAGUGGACAUUUUUUUUCUCAUCACUUACACACUUCAUUCCUGUGUCUAACAGAGGUUUCCUUAAAGCAAUAUCUCUAUUAAAGCAUUAUAUUGCAUUCUGCAUUGCAA